CACAUACAAAGAAGGGGUUUCUUGCUGUUACCACAGCAAGUGACAAGCAAGCCCCCUUUACAGGGACAUGAUCUCCAAUUAACAACUGGGGCAGACGUGGCUGGAUGGCAAGUUCUGCAGACAAAGGCUCUGGGUGGGGCACCCACACAUCCAGGCGGGCUCCACGUUCUCUGUGGCUGGUUUUUGCUGCCACCUUCCAGGCCAGAUAAUAUAUUAGCAGUGAGCUGGGCUCACCCGGUUCUGAAGGGCACCCUGGCCCCUUGUAGAGCAGUGUAGUGGUCUACUGUAGUACCCCCUUGAGACUCUCUGGGCUGUGCUGGUAGUGAAAGAGGUCUUAGCCUCCUUUUUUCAAGUACCCUGCUUCCAUUAUUUCCCUCCCAGGUGUCAGACAGUUGCUUACAUUCUCCAAUAGACAUAUGAAAUGGUGGGUGGCUGGUCUGCCCCGUCAUGCUGUCUCAAACUGUGUCUCCAUUGGUAGGUAUUUAUGUCAUCAUGAGACUUGUGACAGACGAGGUCUUAGAAUAGCUUGGCAUCUCAUUCAAGGAGGGCACCUUUGACUUUUGCUAAGAAACCUCUGCCUGCUUUCUCUUUUUACAAACCUCCUCCAAGGAAUAACUUGCUGCUUCCCAGUGUAUGUAAUAAUAGACAAUAAAGGCACAAGAAUCUCCUUUUUAAUACAAUCCCUUGCUCUUCAGCAGCCCUGUGAGAAGCCAAGCCCAAGAAUUCUUAGACGAGCAGUUGCAAAAUGAAAUAAAUAGGGACUGAGCAUCCCUGACACUGGGACAGGGAGUUUUUCAGCCAUUCUUCCAGGGAUGCUUGCUGCUCCCAGGAAGCAGGCAGGAAUGGGUGCUGGUAUUUUCAGUUUCUCAGAAGAAACUGAUGGCCAGAAAGCAGAAGGGAUAUGGCCAGUGUUCUGUGAGUCUAAAGUGCGUUUUUCCCCCUACAACCUUGCUACCAAAUGAAUUAAGUUCUAGCGCUUGUUUUUACCAAGUAUGGUUGCAAAAUUUGUUCCUGCCUUGAAGCAUGCAGUAUAGACAUGAAAGAAGGCACGGUCACCGAUCCAUCAAGAAGCCUGCCAUCCAGGGAAAGAGGCAGGAAGUAUCCAAGUGCAAUUGAGCAAAAACAUAGAAGGAUUAUCUGAAAGCAGCGCAGGCAAAUUGGAAUCUGUUAGUUCUGUGAAACGAAAUGACACUACUCCUUACAGGUAAUUAUUCUAGAACUUGACUUAUAACAUCCCAAAGGUAAGUUUAGUUAACUUUUAAGUGUCUGUGGUGUUCCUGUGGCUCUUUUAGGGAAUGGCUUUGCUUCCAUUAUGUAGCCAUUCCACAAACUUAACUGAACAUAAAUUUAACCUGAAGAAGGGAAGCUCCAGGUUUCCCCACCUGUUUGGUAUCCAGCCUAUCCAAAAGACAGGCUCCUCUUUUUCUUAUUUUGAGCAAAUGACUGCUCAGUUUCAGCCUCUCUUCUCUUAGCAACAGAGCUAUAAAGGAGCAAUGAAUAGGGCAGUGGAAAAAAUUAAGGAUUGCCUUACCCAAGUAUGCAUACAAGGCCAGGCAGAAGUCAGUUUCCUUGGUGACAGAUGAACAAAUGAACUCUAUUGAAAGGAUACCCAGUUUCUUAGCCAGGUCCGUCCUGUGAGUAGAAGUGCUGUAUCAUGUUAGAACCCAGGGG
rnacentral:lncRNA from 1 species